rnacentral:lncRNA from 1 species
GUUCCCUGUGCCUUGGUCAUCAAUACCAAGAAGACAAUUUGAUGAUCUAGAGCAAUCUGGCUUGAUCAUUCUAUGUCUCUUGGAGGUAGAAUGCUGGCUGAAGAAGAACAAUAAGAGGAAGACUGGACCUUUGAAACUGGUUCCAGAUUAAGAAUGGCUGGUGCUGAGUUUCAUUAGGAAAAAACCAAAAAGGAAUGAAGAAAGAAAGAAAAAGACAAGCUGUCUGAUGACAAUCCCUGUGGCUUGGCCAUCAAUACCAAGAAGAAAAUUUGAUGAUCAAGAGAAUUCUCUGGAGGUAGAAUAUUGAGGGAAGAAGAACAAUAACAGGAAGACUGGAUAUUUGAAAGUGAUUCCAGAAAACAAAAGCUAGUGCUGGUUCAAUUUGGAAAAACAAAAACAAAAUGAAGGAAGAAAGAAUAAGACCAGCUGUCUGAUGACAGCAUUGAUCCCUGUGGCUUGGUCAUCAAUACCAAGAAGACAAUUUGAUGAUCAAGAGCAAUCUCUCUUGAUCAUUCUACCUCUCUUGGAGGUAGAAUGCUGGGUGAAGAAGGACAAUAAGAGGAAGACUGGAGCUUUGAAACUGGUUCUAGAAAAAAAAGGCUGGUGCUGAGUUCCAUUUGGAAAACAACAACAACAAAAAAAAGGAAUGAAGAAAGAAACAAAAUGACAAGCUG